UAACCACCCUGUUUUAAUACAGUACCAAAUAUAUGUCCACUAGCUAUGAAGUCCAUCGAGUGAUGAACUAAGGUAUCUAGUAUGUGAUUGUUAAAAAGAAACCUAUGUCGUUCCUAGUAUGGGGUGGGUGCGCCGCCGUGCUGCGUCUUCCCGAUGUACCCAAUUAUCGCCACACACGUUACCUUCCUGCGGAUGCUCUUGUUCGAGCGGCUCCAGAACCUUAAGGUUGGAUCAACACGAGAAACCGGUCUUGCCACCAUAGAAACCGGUCUACUGACCUGGUAGAAGAUACUAGGUCUUCUUCGUGGAGAGCGUGUUUGUACAUAUAAAUAAACACUUAGGCUAGGAUUGUUCUCAUAAACUGGAAAUUGUAAAAAGACUGUCUUUCAUACUGGUGGUUUUAAAGAACCUUAAGUUAUCGAGGAUUUUGUCUACAAAACAGUAUCACUUCCUUGGUCUCCCCUCCUAUAUAUCCAUACGGGGCGGCACUGCGUCGGGAACUAGGCAGAAACCAGUUAGAAGACAUAAUAGAUUAGUAUGACUUGUACAUAGAUAACGUAGCGAUCUUCGACUUGAGUGGUACAUGACUAAUAUAUAAAGGGACCAGUGUUAAUCUACCGAUUAUUAAAGUACGUGUGUUAUCGUCUAUAAGUCUAUAAACCUUAACAAAACGGCACAAGAAAGAUACUUUCUAUUCGUACUUACGUCCUACCGUUUGGAUUUGUAGCAACGGUUAAAAGAGAAAGUACCUCAUCCUACUUACAGUACCGUCGUUGACGUUCGACGUUUUUGUAAUAACUAUGCCCCACGUGGUCAAAGUUGACACAGAAGAACGUUCGAGGAACAGUUCCUCUCAGGGUUCCAGUCAGACAUGAGACAUCCGAUUAAUUAGGUAACUGAUACAGGAUACUAAGAGAUCCUCGUGAUUCUUUAACAUACAAAAAAAUAUUCCACUGACUUUGUUUUUAUUAUUAUAAAAGUGCGGUGUAGGUCCUCUACUUUUGAAAUAACCAUUUUUCUGUGUUCGAAUGGGAAAAGUCGAACAGAGUUCGUUAAUUCUCAAGGCAAGAAUAAAAACUCGUGAAGCUUACACAUAGAGAAUACCUGAUUAUGAAAGACUAGACUGUGGGACCAUUGUAGUACUAAAACACAUUAAAAAGACUCGCGUUCCGACCGACUGGGUAAAAAAAUGUUCCUAAACGUUAUGACUCUCUGAGUCGGACGUGACCAUUUUUAGGGUUAACUGAAACGGGAACUAAUAACGUUAUUACCCAACUAAAAUCACCAAACCAGACACUGCACUUACACUCGAUCUCAUAUCCCUAAUGGACGCGGCGAUAGUCAACCGAAUGUCAAACCACUAGGUCGUGUUAGAAAGAUAAAAGAAGUUUAAGAAUUCGUUAAUGAGUGCAAACUUCUUACUGCUACCUCGUAUGGAAGAAAAUCUUUUGAUAUGACACCUGGUACCCACAAGUUCUAAUAUAACACCAAACCCGUUAACACUCUGCAGAUAGUGGUACUUAACGAAUCUACUACGUGGUUUCACCUGGAUAAAACGUAAGUACCUGAAACUAUAAAAAUGACUAGAGUACCAACACUUGUAGUUACCACAUUUCAUAUACAUAACGACGAGUAUCUAUUUAGAAAUGGCUCAAAAGUAAAAUAGUACAUGUGAAGUUCAGAACGAACGGUUUGAAGGUGUUCAAGUACAAUUUAACAAUUGACGGAGUACAAACAAGAAGUAAUAAGGUAUAGUUUCACUACAACAGGUUACGCAGACAAGGACAGACUACUUUAACUAAAGGUACUCCAUACGGGACUUCUACUAUGUUAUAGUAAGGAGAACCACGGACACGAUUAUAUUGAGAAUAAAUUUUUUUUGUCAAAGAUACAUAAACCCUCGUCCUAUAAUCCAUCUUUAGAAAACCACUUGAUGUCUAAAUUCGCAGAGACCGCUCAAGAAACAGCCAGUCGUGGUGGAUGGAACCGCGAACUGGAUCGUCUACACACACGCACACGUCUAGUGGGUACGGAGGUGAUGCGGUGGACGACAACCUACCGUGACCGGCAGGUUCGCGCACCUUGACCUUCCUGACAGGAAGUACCACCGUGUUGAGUCGAGCCUCCUAUUUUCUGGUUCCAGGACGUCCAUUGUAGGGUAGUUGAUGGACAGAUGAGGGAGGCAGGGUUAUAUUCACUGAGUUGAAACAUGAUUGAAAUCAUGUUUCAAUCAUGUUUGAACUCAGUGAAUAAAAGCCUGCCUCCCUAAUGAUUUAUCUUUCGAAGGUAGAACUACAUUAAAUGACCUCCAAUUAGGAUGAACGAACAAACUAUUUGGAACAGUAUACGAAGUACACUCCAAAGAACAUAACCAUCGUCCGUUACUCAAUGAUAUAUACUAUAGUAUAAGGUUUAUGUUAAUAAGUUGAGUAGUCAAGUCGUCUAGGAUGUAUUUUCCUUUUCACUUGUCUGUUGUACGUAAACGAAACCAAAUACCAAAAAAUCUCGUAGUGAUUCAAACGGUUUUCUUUAAGCGGGUUUUGUUUGUAGUGCUGUGAGGCAAAAUCGGAUUUGUCUUCACCGAAGUCAAAUACUGUAGAGACUUAAAACUCUUAUCAUCCUGUACUAGACGUUAACGCGAAACGUUCAAAAUGACUAAAGAACACGUUCUAGGAUUUUGUCAAAUGGUAAAACUAGGGAUCUAAAAGAAUAUAACAACUUCAAAGAAGGUUUAUUUAUAUGUUAUACAAACCCCAAAUAGACUCACGGAUCGUACCACGUUGUCAAUAUAAAAAGAAGUUACUGCCACUUUCUCGAUAGUGAAUAUAGCUAGAGGUUAAGUUCAAGAAAAAAAGAUACCUCCCGUGACAUUGAUAGAGUACCAGUCUUGUAACUAGGACAAUCAUUAAAUCAGAUAUUAUAAAUCAAAGUUUUCUAUUAAAGAGAACUCACUCUUCAAAGGUAAAGAGAACUCACUCUUUAAAGGUCUCCCGCCGCCACAACUUCCCUCGGCGACCACGACCGGUUCUAGGGUUGGCUACCUGCGCGGACCAGCGACCUAGGUCAAGUGCGCAACCGAACCCCCGUGGAGCCCCUACAGUGGCCACAACCUCCGCAGGUGUUAUCACGCCCUACCCCUGGCUCGCAGCCCCGUACAGCGCCCAAGGUCAACUCCCGAACUAGUAUAUUGACUUAAGAAUAACGAACGAAAGACUGUAACACUGUAACUUGUGAUCUCGACUUAACUGAGAGAAGUGUUCUAAGUGAAACUAUGUCGGAAGUACACUUCAAAAGUUCAUGAUGUAUAUCCUCCCCCGUCCUCACCGACGUUAGAACGAUGCUUUAUUGUGAAUACCUCGAAGAAAUGGAUUGUACCGGUUCUUCAGACGUUUGAGGUCAUUGGCAUCUCAUCUCGGCCAACCUAUGUAUAAACGUCUCACGUACAUCACACACACAGUCUAUAUAUCACCCUUUUGUGUUGUUACGUUCACAGUCUAGGACAAGAGCUACGUUAAAACGCUGAGAUAAGACCUGACAUUCGUUAACCAACUACAAUUCGACUUUGAGCCUAGUCAGAACACCGAGAACACAUGGAUAUACGGAUCUAAUAAAUUAUUACCAUAUACUUGAUAUAGAAGGACAUAUCCUACUAGUUAACGGUCCUUAUCUUUCUGAUACCAAAACUAAAAAUAGUACAAAAACACUAACCGAAGGACCAUCUGACC
rnacentral:rRNA from 1 species